rnacentral:lncRNA from 1 species
GGGGGCACGGCGAAGAAGCUUCUGUCUCGGGCAGAAAGUUAUGGUACUAAAACCAGUUAAGACGGACAAGCUGCAAGCAGCCUGGCAGGGUCCCUAUCAGAUAGUGGAAAAGAGAGGGGACACCACUUACGUAAUUGCCAGCUGUCACGAUGAAAACUUAAGAAAGAUGUUUCACGUGAACAUGCUGAAGGAGUACUUGCAGAGACCCGAGGAAGUGUCAGCCAUAUGUAGCCCUGCGCACGAGGACGCAGAUGGUUUACCCAUACCCGACUUAUUAACCCCUAAAUCCCCGGUUGAAAUAGUGAGCCAAGUACAGAUUGGGGACAGACUCAGCCCAGUUGAGAGGGAGCAGCUACACAAACUGCUCCGGGAGAAACAAGCCAUGUUCUUCCAAGAACCAGGGUACACGGAGCUGACCACUCACCAAGUAGAUACCCCCGGCCAAAACCCUUUGAGACAAGCUCCCUACCGAAUUCCGGAGGCAGUAAGGACAGGCAUGAAAAAGGAAAUAGAUGAGAUGCUGCGAUUAGGGGUCAUUGAAGCUUCCGAUAGCCCCUGGGCAUCCCCGGUGGUCCUGGUCCCCAAAAAGGACGGCACCACCAGAUUCUGUGUGGACUACCGGAAACUCAAUGACAAAACUGUCACCGAUGCAUACCCCAUGCCCAGGGUGGAUGAGCUACUAGAUCGCAUAGCCAAGGGGAACUACCUAACUACCAUUGACCUCUGUAAGGGUUACUGGCAAAUCCCCCUGGCCAGGGAGGCUGUCCCCAAGUCGGCCUUCGUCACCCCGUUCGGUUUGUACCACUUUAAGGUCAUGCCGUUCGGGAUGAAGAAUGCCCCCGCCACAUUCCAACGCUUGGUGGACAGACUCCUUGAUGGCUUCCAGGAGUUUGCCUGCGCAUACCUGGACGACAUAGCGAUUCAUAGCGAGACCUGGGAGGAACACUUAGCUCAUGUGGGAAUAGUUCUGGACCAGAUCCGAGCCGCCGGCCUAACUCUAAAGCCAGAGAAGUGUCACUUUGGGAUGGCGAAGGUUCAGUACCUGGGUCACCGGGUGGGCUGUGGGAAGCAACGACCGGAGCCAGCCAAAAUAGAAGCGGUCGCCAACUGGCCCACUCCCCACACUAAGACCCAAGUACUAGCUUUUCUGGGUACCGCUGGGUACUACAGAAAAUUUGUACCGGAGUAUAGCGCCAUUGCCAAACCCCUGACCGACCUGACAAAGAAAAACCUUCCCCGACAGGUCCUGUGGUCUCCCCUCUGUGAAACGGCUUUCCAAGCCCUCAAAACUGCGUUGAUUAAUGCUCCUGUCUUGGCUGCCCCAGCCCCUAAUCGACGUUUUAUUGUCCAUACAGACGCUUCCAUGUUCGGGCUGGGAGCUGUCCUCAGCCAAGUAGGAGAUGAUGGGAAGGAACACCCGAUUGCCUACAUCAGUCGAAAACUCCUACCAAGCGAAGUUAGCUAUGCAGCGGUAGAAAAGGAGUGUUUGGCUCUGGUGUGGGCACUAAAGAAGUUAACCCCCUAUUUGUAUGGACAAGAGUUCACUCUGGUUACAGACCAUAACCCGCUGGUGUGGCUCAACCGGGUCGCUGGGGACAAUGGCAGAUUGUUACGCUGGAGCUUAUCCCUGCAGCCCUUUAAUUUCACAAUCACCUACCGACCCGGGAAGCAGAACGGCAACGCCGACGGAUUAUCCCGGCAAACAGAUCUCAGCCCAGCCUAACCCCACGAGUCUGGACAGCCUUAGUAUGCCCCGAAAAGGGGUCAGACAGUGUCUGCCAGAGUGUUCCACAAAGAGGGAGCAUUGUUACAAAAGACUGGAAAUCACUAUGUUGCUGUUUUAACUCACCGAUUGAUACUGUUUGCCACUGCAUAAGUUAAGCAGAAAACCACACGAAUGGAUUAUGCGAACCCUUAUGAAGGCUCCAUUCGUGGUACGAACGGGGGACCCCCCACAAACUGGCGUGUGCCGCCACUUAACCCCGUCACCCCACAAACUACCGAACGGUCGACCACCCGGCCCUCGGAGUGUGGCAGCCAUUAACCACCCAGGUGUCUGCGGUUUGCGGUUAACCACAACAUAAUUGGUAGGCCUGGGGGCAUCGACGUUCGCACCCAAAGUACC